AUAGCUUAGUGGUAGAGUGCCUGCCUAGCAUGCAUGAGGUCCUGGGUUCAAUCCCCAGU
rnacentral:tRNA from 1 species